GUAGCUCUCGGCUCAGCCAAAGGACAACCUUCGAACAAAUGAAACACAUCACUCCUAGCAAACAACUCCCCAGCCACAGGCUGUCAGAAGACUGCUAGACUCCCACUGAGCGACGGAGCUGCAGCUCCAGACUGUCGCCGCAGACCCGAGGCUGCGGGUGCCUUUGGGAGCCAUCUCUCUAGGAAGUUUGCAGGAAGAUGACUCAUUCAGGGAACAGUGUUGCCAGUGCUCCUUGCAGUAGCAGGGUCACCUGAGGAGUCUGGGCAACGGGCUGCUUCACAGGAGACGUGGCCUUGAGGAGCAGGUGCAGGACAGCUGGGCGCUCCGCCUGCCGCCGCACCCUGGGUUGCUGCGGAGACACAGGCGCUCCCCGCGGCCAGCAGCCUGGGGCGGACCCACCAGCUGGCGGUUGGAAGACGGGGCCGACUGACCCGCCACAGGAGGCUGGCCGCCCGGGUCUGCGGUGGGGGUAACACAAGCGAAAAAUACACCUACGGUGCGUUGAGCCGCCGGGAUUUCACGCACCGUCUGGCUCACUCGCUGCUUGACCGUCUCGUCAAGCUACCAUGAGGGUUAAAUCAGAACACGCGGGUGCCUAGCGCAGUCCACGCACCGAACAGUCAGCCCAGCCGUGGUACCUGCCGGCCUUCUGCGCGCCGCAAGAAAGCCAGCGCGGUCCCGGGAGGAAGGGUGCGGCGGCCCCUCGCCACGGUCGCUCAUCUCUCCCCAUCUCCCCGGCGUGUUUCCCCUGUGGAGUCUGGGUGGGGCAGCUCCCGCUACCAAAGCCACAGGGAACGGGGCCCCUGCCUCCCCGCCGGCUCGCCGCCCGGGCGCGGGGUCGG